rnacentral:lncRNA from 1 species
AAUCACGCUCGGCCUUCUCCUCUCCCGGGCGGCGCUCUCCCUGUGGCGGGGACCUGGGACGAGGGGGUGGGGUGGGGAGGGGAAGGCAGGAGGGGGCUGCCCUUCCGUUGCCCAUGCUAAAGGUUCCUGUGUAGGAAGCUGGACGCAGCCUGCUGGACUAGUAAUCUUCCUCCUCGCUGGGGCGCGGGGCACUGAAGGGAGGGAGAGACUUUCUCCUCCUUCCUGUUCCCCGGGACAGCUGUGCUCUCCGAAUCCUUCCCUUCUUCCCAGCCCACUUAUUCCCCGCUCGCCAAGGCACGUUUGCACAGGCAUUUUUCCUGCUCUUUUUUCUGGGAGGGCAGCUUGGUAGAAUGGUCGGCGGAGCUGGGCGAGGAGAGGGGUCUUCAGAAGGUUUGCUUUCUUGCUCUUGCUUCUCACUGGCCGCUGGGCUGUCCACUUUCCGCGCCGGGCGACUGGCAACAGGAGGCCAUGGAUUUCCCCCAACGAGUGCGUUGGUGUUUUUCUUUGGUUUUGUUUCCUUUGCAUGUUCGUAUGUGUAGUUUUAUUUUCUUGCCUGUUUUCGUUUGAUGGCAGAGAGGCGACCUCGGGAAGUAUUAAACAUUUGCCCGUAUAAGAAGAGCGUCUGUGGUCCACCAUGACCCUCGCUCAUCCCAGGUGGCUCUCCGCCCUGCCCUCUCCAUCCUCCCGCCUCGCACAGUACCGGCAGCUUGACCUUGGAGCCACUGCCACAUUGGUUCCGCGGGGGGAGUAGGAGGGUGGACAAUUUGGACUGUCCAGCGUAGGGGGUGAAUUGAAGGCAGAGGACACCAGUCCUCAGGCCUGACACUAUUAAUUUUAUGUAGGUCCUGUCAUCUCCACGAGAUAGCCAUAAAUGUGUUCCAGUAACAGGAAAGCUGAACAAGGAUCAGCCGCCCAGAAGUUAGCCUGUCGCAGCUAAACUAAUGCAUGCUUGCGGCCAAGACCACGCUGUCCUCGGCUUUCAGUCAAUAGGGUCUUCCCACCUUCCGCCCGCUGGAUUACAAGGCUUUACUAACCUCCAAGGCUACAAGCCAUUCUACACCCUGCCCACCUCUUUUUUCUUUCUUAACUUCUGCCUCCCUUCCAGUCUCCCAGCGCUCGGUCUAGUGCCUUUUUCCCUCCAGCCCUUUCCUCUUCCCUCCCUCCCUGUGCCUGUCUGCCUCUGUCGUCCCCUGUAAGCUUGUCUCCUGCAGCCAAGGCUUUCUAUCACCUAUUCUCAAGAUGCACUUAUGAAUAAACCUUGUCCUGCAUCGCUCCGGGAGAUCCCCUGAUGAUGAUCAUAAUUGACAAAAUGUAGCUAUUGUGACAUUCCUCAGCUGUGCUGACACCACCGUUUCCCUUGAGAAAAUUUCUUUUUCUAUAUUCGCAUUCCCUAAACCUAAUUUCACUGCUAAAUUUAGACAGCUCACUGCGCAGCCACUAGCUAAUUAUCUGUUUAGAUAGCACUUUAACACGUUGUUGAGACUCAGUUAAAUGUUAAACAACCAAAAUUUUAAUAUCACUAGCCAAUUUCAUUCUUCCAGGUUUUCCCUGAUGGCUCCACAUCUCCAAGAAAACAUCUUCAACUAAAGAUGUCAAAGCACAAGCUCACUUCCCACGGAAGGUAGCAAUUACUAUUAUCUACUUGACAGCUACAAGAACCUAGGCACAGAGGUUAAGUGCUCUGCAAAUACUACCAGCCAGUGGUGGUUUUCCUGCCAGAACCAAGUUCUUGCCUUCCAGUGGACACCAUUGAUCUCUCAAGAUGAUUCUUUAAGUUAAAAAGCACGAAUCACAAAGGGCCUCAAAACCACAUUAAAAUUUAAGAUUGAUCUGCUCUUCUGCUUCUGAAUGUGAGAGCCUAUACUGGAUCUCUGAAGAAAAUAAAGAUGAGAUGAGGUUCUGAUCCCUUGGACUUCAUGAAGUUACGUGACAGAAAGUAUGAUUGUCUAGCCGAUACUUGACUGUGUGAAACCUUCAUCUACUCCGGAAUCCUGAGGCACAGACUCAGAGGCCCUCUGACUCACGAUUAGGGUUGUCAGGGUGAUGCAACAGCAAGACCAUAGCCUUUGGUGUCGGAAUACCAAGUUUUGAAGCUCAGUUUCCCCACUCACUAAUUUUCAGUGAGCACAUACAUAAUUUGAAAUCUGAAAAUGGACAAUAAUGCCUACCUACUUCAAAAUUUGGUUUGAGAAUCAAGUGAAAUAUUAAUAUAUAUGUAAGCAUUUUAUGAACAAGGAAGCAAGUUAUAAAUGCAUUAUCUUGUUAAUUUAGUCAUUUCACUAGGGGUGGGUCCAAUGUGGGCCUCCUUUGAGGUAGAC